rnacentral:lncRNA from 1 species
CUUUGUUCUCCAUAGAAUGUCUACUAGAGUCCUUUUAGCCACUCUUUCCAUCCCUAUUACUCCUGAGCGUACGGAUAUUGCUCGACUUCUGGAUAUGGAUGGCAUUAUAGUUGAAAAACAGCGUCGCCUUGCAACACUACUAGGUCUUCAAGCCCCACCGACACGAAUUGGCCUUAUUAAUGAUAUGGUUAGUAUUAAUUUGAGGAUUUUUGUAGCUUUGGGCAGAAAACUUUGUGGUCAGGUUUAAUAACUUAUGAUGGAUUCAUUUUUGGUAAAUUUAGAGGAGGUUGAGGCUUGAUGAUUUUUUAAAUCAUUUUCCAGAUUUCCAAUGCUAUCAUUUAUACUAAGUUCAGAAUUUUAGUUGGAAAAUUUCCUUUGGCAGUUACAUCUUUUGUUUUGCUUACUGUAGGUCAGAUUUAAUGUACUACAAUAUGUUGUCCCGGAAGUGAAAGACCUUUACAAUUGGCUUGAAGUGGAAUUUAACCCAUUAAAACUCUGUGAGCGAGUCACAAAGGUAAGCCUUUGUAUUUAAGUUCUGGUUGUUACCACAGAGUUGGCCUUCUUG